GGAAAAGCUCAAAUUUAAAAUCUGAGGGUCUUUACGGCCUUCCGAGUUGUAAUCUAGAGAAGUGCUAUCCGCGCUGGACCGUGUACAAGUCUCCUGGAACGGAGCGUCAUAGAGGGUGAGAAUCCCGUCUUUGACACGGACUACCAGGGCUUUUGUGAUGCGCUCUCAAAGAGUCGAGUUGUUUGGGAAUGCAGCUCUAAAUGGGUGGUAAAUUCCAUCUAAAGCUAAAUAUUGGCGAGAGACCGAUAGCGAACAAGUACCGUGAGGGAAAGAUGAAAAGAACUUUGGAAAGAGAGUUAAACAGUACGUGAAAUUGUUGAAAGGGAAACGCUUGAAGUCAGUCGCGUUGGCCAGGAAUCAACCUUGCUUUUGCUUGGCGUACUUUCUGGUUAACGGGUCAGCAUCAAUUUUGAUCGGUGGAUAAAGAUCAGGGGAAUGUGGCAUCUUCGGAUGUGUUAUAGCCUCUGUUCGCAUACAUCGGUUGGGAUUGAGGAACUCAGCACGCC
rnacentral:rRNA from 1 species